GGAUCAUUACCGAGUUUACAACUCCCAAACCCCUGUGAACAUACCACUUGUUGCCUCGGCGGAUCAGCCCGCUCCCGGUAAAACGGGACGGCCCGCCAGAGGACCCCUAAACUCUGUUUCUAUAUGUAACUUCUGAGUAAAACCAUAAAUAAAUCAAAACUUUCAACAACGGAUCUCUUGGUUCUGGCAUCGAUGAAGAACGCAGCAAAAUGCGAUAAGUAAUGUGAAUUGCAGAAUUCAGUGAAUCAUCGAAUCUUUGAACGCACAUUGCGCCCGCCAGUAUUCUGGCGGGCAUGCCUGUUCGAGCGUCAUUUCAACCCUCAAGCACAGCUUGGUGUUGGGACUCGCGUUAAUUCGCGUUCCCCAAAUUGAUUGGCGGUCACGUCGAGCUUCCAUAGCGUAGUAGUAAAACCCUCGUUACUGGUAAUCGUCGCGGCCACGCCGUUAAACCCCAACUUCUGAAUGUUGACCUCGGAUCAGGUAGGAAUACCCGCUGAACUUAAGCAUA
rnacentral:rRNA from 1 species